UCCGACUUCCAUGGUCACCGUCCUGCUGUCUUCAGUUACUAACGCCUUUCAUGGUUUCCCAUAAGCGUGGCUUAGGCACUUUAACUCCACGUUUGGUUCAUCCCACAGCGCCAGUUCUGCUUACCAAAAAUGGCCCACUAGGCACAUCUAUAUCCGAUCAACCGGCUUCAGCCCCAGUAAGCCGGAGAUCCCACACAUUUAAAGUUUGAGAAUAGGUUGAGGCCGUUUCGACCCCAAUACCUCUAAUCAUUCGCUUUACCGCAUGUGACUAUGCUUUCUAUAUAUAUAUUUAUAUUUCUCUAAGUUUUUAUGCCCGCUAUCCUGAGGGAAACUUCAGAGGGAACCAGCUACUAGAUAAUUCGAUUGGUCUUUCGCCCCUAUACUCAGAUUUGACGAUCGAUUUGCACGUCAGAAUCGCUACGGACCUCCACCAGGGUUUCCCCUGGCUUCGUCCUCCCCAAGCAUAGUUCAACAUCUUUCGGGUCCCAGCGUGUGGACUCUGAGGGCGCCUCAUCUCGCAAUGAGAACGAGACACCCCGGGAUUGCGAGGCGACUUUUCAGCCGCCCAUCAUCCCAUGGCUGCUCUUUCGAACUCGCCUUUGAUUUCGCUACGCCUUUGGGUUUCGUAAAACCCAAUGGCUCGCCCACAUGCUAGACUCCUUGGUCC
rnacentral:rRNA from 1 species